GCCAGCACGUGCUUCCCGAGGCUGUACGCCACCUCGAACGUGAUGGCGGUGAACACAUCCUUCACGUCUUUCUGCAGGGAACAUGAACAAACAUAAAAGCUCCACUCGGCUCUUUGAAGGCCGCUCGGUUGGUCUGACUCUGAAAGUGAUGCCUAAAAGCUGCCGCAAUCAUACAGCGGGCAACCUGUGCCCCUCUGCCCAACUGAUGUCUGCCGGCACGGAGCCGAACCCACAACGUCAACACAAAGGACUUCCCUGUGUUUUCGGCUGGCCACUUGUACUUUUGCCCUUUCUCUCUCUUUUGUCUGUUAUCAGAGUGUUUUUCCACCCAUCCUCUUUCCUCAGGCAGGGCCGGUCGGAGCUUUGAACACAUUUAGGCAACAGCAGCGGAGGACCCACCCAACUCAUCAACAGUGAGGGAGGUACUGCAGGAAGGAGCGGCCGUUAGUGCAGGCAGGACAUGAGUAGACAAAAACAGAAGAUUUGGGGCUCAUUUGGGAAACGGUGCUGCACACAGAUAAAACAUGCGGCUGCUGAUAAUAUAAGAGAGUUUUAGGGAUUUUCUGAAACUAUCUGAUUGUCUUAAUAAGACUGAAAAAAAAGAAGUUUUAUUGUUAAUUAAUAUGUUAUUCUCUUGACUUAUCAAAGUUAUUAAAGUUUUGAGUUCAAAACCUAAAGAUAUUCACUUUCACUGUGAUAUUUUUUUCACAAAAAAUAUAAAGAUUUUUUGGGGUAGUUCACCUUUAAUGACAAUUCAGUGCAAACAUUAGAUGAAGAGAGAGAAUCAGGAGGACUCGCAGCCAAAGGCCUAUUGGAACCGAACCUGCGGCCAUAUUCAAGAGGACUAAAACCUUCGACUUGACCCAUUUUGAGCGUCUGCAGCCAUUCCCAGCUCUGUGGGGCUGAACUCUUCACACAGCAGCGCUUUGACCUUCAUGUUAAAAUCACAAUGUUAACAUAUUCACAAUGACAGCGCUAACAAGCUGAUGCUGAGCAGGUAUCAGCAGCAGCUGAGUCGACAGCAGUGCACAUUUUUGUCCGGCUUUGCAGGACGACAUCCUCUCAGCAGUGAGCUCACACGUCUCCGGUAAGAAGGCAAAAACAGUUAUCAGUCACUACCUGCACUGCUUAAGACUAGACUUGGUAUCACAGUGCACUUUAACCAUAUAUAGGGUUAUAAUGCUUCCAGUUAAGCAGACUGGACCGAAAAAGGCGAGAGCAUUUCCCAGUUACCAUUUUAUUUUGCAAUGAUCGAAAUGUGUGAUAAUAAUGUAGUGAGAUGUAAACAAUUAAAGACUCUUUAAUUUU